rnacentral:tRNA from 1 species
GCCAGAGUAGUUUAACAAAAACGUUGGUCUUGUAAACCAAAACUGGGGCAUCAUACCACCCCCCUCAGGCA